rnacentral:rRNA from 1 species
AGAACGAACGCUGGCGGCAUGCCUAACACAUGCAAGUCGAACGAGACCUUCGGGUCUAGUGGCGCACGGGUGCGUAACGCGUGGGAAUCUGCCCAAAAGGUUCGGAAUAACUCGGGGAAACCCGUGCUAAUACCGGAUAAUGUCUUCGGACCAAAGAUUUAUUGCCUUUGGAUGAGCCCGCGUAGGAUUAGCUAGUUGGUGGGUAAAGCUCACCAAGGCGACGAUCCUUAGCUGGUCUGAGAGGAUGAUCAGCCACACUGGGACUGAGACACGGCCCAGACUCCUACGGGAGGCAGCAGUGGGGAAUACUGGACAAUGGGCGAAAGCCUGAUCCAGCAAUGCGCGUGAGUGAUGAAGGCCGUUAGGGUUGUAAAGCUCGUUUACCGGAUGAUAAUGACAGUACCGGAGAAUAAGCUCCGGCUAACCGUCCGCGACCAGCAGCCGAC